AGGAUAUUAGUUAAAAUAACAUUUAAAUUGCAUUUAAAAAUUAUGUAUAUAUUACAUAUAUCUUA
rnacentral:tRNA from 1 species